GACACAUUUCACCUUUCCACACCAUGAUGUACUCCAGCAACAUCUCUGCUCAAGAUCACGCAACUCACUUUUCCAUAAGGACCAGGAAAGAGAAGGAGACGAUUUGCUGCCUGUUUUCUCCUUGGUGAAAGGCUUCAAUUGCUGUGAGAUCUACACAGGAGAUCUUGAGGUACAAAGCACUUCACUAAAAUCAUAGAUCCUAAGCCUAAAAGAAGCUACCGGAAUAACAAAAGAGUGAGAGAUUUCCUGUCAUUGCUCACAGCCUCUGCACCUUGAUGGCAUCUCCUGAGUACCAGCAGUGACUCCACAUAUCCAGCCUUAUGAUGAGUGCUCUGCAGAGUGGUAUGCAAAGGUGAAACGAGUGACACAAGAUGAAAAAGGACAAAUGCCCAUUCUCUAGAAAGGACUAACAAGGGGACUGUCUAUGUAUGCGGGAUGCUGCAAAUUCAAGAGCACAGUCACAUCUCACCUUCAGCCUUGCAAGCUCAGCUGUAGCAAUGUUAGCAUGCUGAGAGGGUGUGUAGGAGUGGGGGGUAUCAGCUAACAGAGAAAACCUACAUCCAUGCAAUCCUUUGCAGCACUGGAAUGGAAAUAACUGAGAACAGCUUGCUUUGUUAAAGGCAUCACUGCUGUACACCUUCAUUGCUGUAACCAGUCUGAAAGGAAUAACUACGGUCUUUACUAAUGCUGUCUCUGCCACUACUGUUUGUUUUUUUAUCUGUUGUUGUUUUUUAUUAAAUAACUCCACCUUCUUUCUUCUUCCAGUGCUUGAUGCAGCUUCUAAACACAGGCAGAGACUGAACCCAUAGAAAAACAUCACGCAGGGAACACAGUUGUCCCAUUAAUUCAAUCAGUGUAGUAAGGACGUGUUUUGGAAAUUUAAAAUCCCAUGUUCAUAUUUCUCUGCUCUAGAAAAGAAUCUCCAAAGAUUGCACCCAAAUCACUGGCAUCAUUACUUUCAAUUCAUCACUGAAAUCCAGACAAGUUGUUUGUAUCUGCAUUAAUGUCACCAAACAGUAAAGUUAAAUGAAUACUUCAAUUCUGUAUCUGCUCCAGUCUGUGGUUCACUGAUGAGAAGUGUACAGUCUCAAACUGUACCUGUCUUCUGGAGCAUUAUAUUCUUUUUCCAACUGUGCUAACUUGUUUAAGUCUAACUUGUUUAAACCUGCUGUGUUGACCAGGAGAAACCAUAGCUUGGGGUUCAGGUGGGGAUGAUGAC
ensembl:lncRNA